UACGAAGGGGGCUAGCGUUGUUCGGAAUUACUGGGCGUAAAGCGCGCGCAGGCGGUCCUUCAAGUCAGAGGUGAAAGCCCAGAGCUCAACUCUGGAAUGGCCUUUGAGACUAGAGGACUUGGGUACGGGAGAGGUGAGUGGAACUGCGAGUGUAGAGGUGAAAUUCGUAGAUAUUCGCAAGAACACCAGUGGCGAAGGCGGCUCACUGGCUCGGUACUGACGCUGAGGUGCGAAAGCGUGGGGAGCAAACAGG
rnacentral:rRNA from 1 species